GGCCCCUUGGUCUAAUCGGUUAGGACACCAGCCUUUCAAGCUGGCAGCAGGGGUUCAAAUCCCCUAGGGGUCACCA
rnacentral:tRNA from 1 species